AUUGAACGCUGGCGGCAGGCCUAACACAUGCAAGUCGAACGAGUGGCGGACGGGUGAGUAAUGUCUGGGAAAAUGCCAGAUGGAGGGGGGUAACUACUGGAAAAGGUAGCUAAUACCGCAUCGCAUCGUAUGAGCCCAGAUGGGAUUAGCUUGUAGGUGAGGGAACGGCUCACCUAGGCGACGAUCCCUAGCUGGUCUGAGAGGAUGACCAGCCACACUGGGACUGAGACACGGCCCAGACUCCUACGGGAGGCAGCAGUGGGGAAUAUUGCACAAUGGGCGCAAGCCUGAUGCAGCCAUGCCGCGUGUAUGAAGAAGGCCUUCGGGUUGUAAAGUACUUUCAGCGGGGAGGCGUUACCCGCAGAAGAAGCACCGGCUAACUCCGUGCCAGCAGCCGCGGUAAUAC
rnacentral:rRNA from 1 species